GUCGAACGAACUCUGGUAUUGAUUGGUGCUUGCAUCAUGAUUUACAUUUGAGUGAGUGGCGAACUGGUGAGUAACACGUGGGAAACCUGCCCAGAAGCGGGGGAUAACACCUGGAAACAGAUGCUAAUACCGCAUAACAACUUGGACCGCAUGGUCCGAGCUUGAAAGAUGGCUUCGGCUAUCACUUUUGGAUGGUCCCGCGGCGUAUUAGCUAGAUGGUGGGGUAACGGCUCACCAUGGCAAUGAUACGUAGCCGACCUGAGAGGGUAAUCGGCCACAUUGGGACUGAGACACGGCCCAAACUCCUACGGGAGGCAGCAGUAGGGAAUCUUCCACAAUGGACGAAAGUCUGAUGGAGCAACGCCGCGUGAGUGAAGAAGGGUUUCGGCUCGUAAAACUCUGUUGUUAAAGAAGAACAUAUCUGAGAGUAACUGUUCAGGUAUUGACGGUAUUUAACCAGAAAGCCACGGCUAACUACGUGCCAGCAGCCGCGGUAAUACGUAGGUGGCAAGCGUUGUCCGGAUUUAUUGGGCGUAAAGCGAGCGCAGGCGGUUUUUUAAGUCUGAUGUGAAAGCCUUCGGCUCAACCGAAGAAGUGCAUCGGAAACUGGGAAACUUGAGUGCAGAAGAGGACAGUGGAACUCCAUGUGUAGCGGUGAAAUGCGUAGAUAUAUGGAAGAACACCAGUGGCGAAGGCGGCUGUCUGGUCUGUAACUGACGCUGAGGCUCGAAAGUAUGGGUAGCAAACAGGAUUAGAUACCCUGGUAGUCCAUACCGUAAACGAUGAAUGCUAAGUGUUGGAGGGUUUCCGCCCUUCAGUGCUGCAGCUAACGCAUUAAGCAUUCCGCCUGGGGAGUACGGCCGCAAGGCUGAAACUCAAAGGAAUUGACGGGGGCCCGCACAAGCGGUGGAGCAUGUGGUUUAAUUCGAAGCUACGCGAAGAACCUUACCAGGUCUUGACAUACUAUGCAAAUCUAAGAGAUUAGACGUUCCCUUCGGGGACAUGGAUACAGGUGGUGCAUGGUUGUCGUCAGCUCGUGUCGUGAGAUGUUGGGUUAAGUCCCGCAACGAGCGCAACCCUUAUUAUCAGUUGCCAGCAUUAAGUUGGGCACUCUGGUGAGACUGCCGGUGACAAACCGGAGGAAGGUGGGGAUGACGUCAAAUCAUCAUGCCCCUUAUGACCUGGGCUACACACGUGCUACAAUGGAUGGUACAACGAGUUGCGAACUCGCGAGAGUAAGCUAAUCUCUUAAAGCCAUUCUCAGUUCGGAUUGUAGGCUGCAACUCGCCUACAUGAAGUCGGAAUCGCUAGUAAUCGCGGAUCAGCAUGCCGCGGUGAAUACGUUCCCGGGCCUUGUACACACCGCCCGUCACACCAUGAGAGUUUGUAACACCCAAAGUCGGUGGGGUAACCUUU
rnacentral:rRNA from 1 species